ensembl:lncRNA
GUGGGUCCUGGUUAAAUGGCCCCCUAUUCCCUGUGGGUCCUGGUCAAAUGGCCCCCUAUUCCCCAUGGGUCCUGGUCAAAUGGCCCCCUAUUCCCCGUGGGUCCUGGUCAAAUGGCCCCCUAUUCCCCGUGGGUCCUGGUCAAAUGGCCCCCUAUUCCCCGUGGGUCCUGGUUAAAUGGCCCCCUAUUCCCCGUGGGUCCUGGUCAAAUGGCCCACUAUUCCCUUGGGUCCUGGUUAAAUGGCCCCCUAUUCCCCGUGGGUCCUGGUCAAAUGGCC